rnacentral:rRNA from 1 species
UUGACCUCGGAUCAGGUAGGAAUACCCGCUGAACUUAAGCAUAUCAAUAAGCGGAGAAA